AAGGAGGCACAAGUGCUAACUGUGAAAAGAUUAGAAAAUAUUUGUCUGUUUUUACAAUACGUUUGGAAGGACAAGGAGCCUCCCUGCUUCCCAGCUGAAGGGUUUCUACUUGCCUUGUUAUAUUUCGACUGGACUGGAUGAUACGAGAAAUGUCCUGUGCUUAAGGAUGCCUUGGGAAGCGGGAGCGCCCUGCGUGAGCCUUCACAGCUCCUCCUGGCCAGGCUUUCUUUGCACACAUUGGAUGCUUUCGACUCACAUUGUGCUGCGCUGUAGUCUGAGGUAGAAAAUUCUUUGGAUGAAUGGAGAGGAAGGAAACCAAGCAGGGAGUGUGACCACUCGGAGCGGUCCGGUUUUGCGCUGUUAGACGGAUGUUA